rnacentral:rRNA from 1 species
UACUGGGCGUAAGCGCACGUAGGCGGCUUUGUAAGUUAGAGGUGAAAGCCUGGAGCUCAACUCCAGAAUUGCCUUUAAGACUGCAUCGCUUGAAUCCAGGAGAGGUGAGUGGAAUUCCGAGUGUAGAGGUGAAAUUCGUAGAUAUUCGGAAGAACACCAGUGGCGAAGGCGGCUCACUGGACUGGUAUUGACGCUGAGGUGCGAAAGCGUGGGGAGCAAACAGGAUUAGA